GCUUGCCGCAAAGCACUGGCAAAAGUAAUGACUAUGAAUGUGUCAUGGGAGAAAAAAAAUAGUAAGGAGAUAUUUUAAUUAUUUAUUUUUAAACUAAUAAAAAAGUCAGUGAA